CGACAGAUCAUCAUGCCUGGAAUGGCCGAUGGUUGAAAUGAUUUAUCGCCAUAGGAUGGGACUGCCACCUAUCAGCUUGUUGGUGAGGUAAUGGCCCACCAAGGCUAUAACAGAUACGGGCUCUGAAAGGACAAGCCCGGAGAUGGGUACUGACACACCCACCCACGCCCUAUGGGGCGCAGCAGGAAAAAAAACUUUGCAAUGUGCGAAAGCACGACAAGGUUAAUCCGAGUGGUUCCUGCUAAGGGAACCUUUUGCCGGUCCUAAAAACACCGGUGAAUAAGGGGUGGGCAAGUUCUGGUGUCACCCGCCGCGGUAAAACCAGCACCUCAAGUGGUCAGGAGGAUUAUUGGGCCUAAAGCAUCCGUAGCCGGCUGUGUAAUUUUUCGGUUAAAUCCAUGCGCUCAACGUAUGGGCUGCCGGGAAUACUGCACAGCUAGGGAGUGAGAGAGGUAGACGGUACUCGGUAGGGAGGAAUAAAAUCCACUGAUCUAUC
rnacentral:rRNA from 1 species